rnacentral:rRNA from 1 species
CGCUGGCGGCGUGCCAAUACAUGCAAGUCGAACGGUCUUUCUAUGGAAGCUCGCUUCCACUGAGAAGAUAGUGGCGAACGGGUGAGUAACACGUGGGUAACCUGCCCAUAAGAGGGGGGAUAACAUCCGGAAACGGGUGCUAAUACCGCAUAGUUUUCUUGAUCGCAUGAUCGGGAAAGGAAAGACGGCCUUUGUGCUGUCGCUUAUGGAUGGACCCGCGGCGUAUUAGUUAGUUGGUGAGGUAACGGCUCACCAAGACGAUGAUACGUAGCCGACCUGAGAGGGUGAUCGGCCACAUUGGGACUGAGACACGGCCCAAACUCCUACGGGAGGCAGCAGUAGGGAAUCUUCCGCAAUGGACGAAAGUCUGACGGAGCAACGCCGCGUGAGUGAAGAAAGGUUUUCGGAUCGUAAAACUCUGUUGUCAGAGAAGAACAAGUUGGAGAGUAACUGCUCCAGCCUUGACGGUAUCUGACCAGAAAGCCACGGCUAACUACGUGCCAGCAGCCGC